rnacentral:rRNA from 1 species
GUUAAGUGACCAAGCAUACACGGUAGAUGCCUAGGCAGUCAGAAACAAUGAAGGGUGUGCUAAUCUGCGAAAAGCGCCGGUAAGGCGAUAUAAACCGUUAUAGACAGCGACACCCAAAUGGGGAAAGCCAGUGUGAUACGUCACACUACCGUUAAGUGAAUACAUAGCUUGACGAGGCAAGCCGGGGGAACUAAAACAUCUAAGUACUCCAAGAAAAAGAAAUCAAACGAGACCCCCAGUAGCGGCGAGCGAACGGGGGCCAGCCCAGAACCUGAAUCAGCGGGUGUGCUAGUGGAAGCGUCUGGAAAGUCGCGCAGUAAAGGGUGAUAGCCCGGUACAUAAAAAUGCACUGGCUUCGAGUUAGACGAGCAGGGCGAGACACGUAAUAUCCUGUCUAAAUACGGGGAGACCAUCCUGCAAGGCUAAAUACUCCCGACCGACCGAUAGUAAGCCAGUACCGCGAGGGAAAGGCAAAAAAAAACCCGGCGAGAGGAGUGAAAAAGAACCUAAAACCGUGUACGUACAAGCAGUAAGAGCACCGUUAAGGUGUGACUGCGUACCUUUUGUAUAACAGGUCAGCGAGUUAUUAUUUUGUAGCAAGGUUAACGGCAAAGUAACGAUAAAACGGGUGAAAAACCGGCUCGCCGGAAGACCAAGGGUUCCUGUCCAACGUUAAUCGGGGCAGAGUGAGUCGACCCCUAAGGUAAGGCUAAAAAGCGUAGUCGAUGUGCAAAAGGUUAAUAUUCCCGUACUGGGUGUGACUCCGAAGGGGGGACGAAGAAAACCAGGCAUGUCAAGCGACGGUCAUCCCGGUUUAAGCGUGUAGGGGGGAGUUUUGGGUAAAUCCGGAACGCCAUACAUAAACCCUGAGGCGUGAUGACGAUGCACCAAGGUGCAGAAGCUGUUGAUGCCCUGCCUCCAGGAAAAGCCUCUAAGCAUUAGGCCACCUUUUAUCGUACCCCAAAAUCGUACCCCAAACCGACACAGGUAAUCAGGUAGAGAAUACCGAGGCGCCCAAGAGAACUCUAGUGAAGAAACUAGGCAAAAUGGUGCCGUAACUUCGGGAAAAAGCACGCUAGCAUGUAGGUGAAUUCCGUAUUGGAGAGAGCUUAAGCCAGUCGCAGAGACAAGCCGGCUGAAACUGUUUAAUAAAAACACAGCACUGUGCCAACACAAAAGUGGACGCAUGCAGUGCGCCGCCUGCCCGGUGCAGGAAGGUUAAUUGAUGGGGUUAGCUACAAGGCGAAGCUCCUGAUCAAAGCCCCAGUAAACGGCAGCCGUAACUAUAACGGUCCUAAGGUAGCAAAAUUCCUUGUCGGGCAGGUUCCGACCUGCACAAAUGGCGUAAUGAUGGCCAGGCUGCCUCCACCCGAGAGUCAGUAAAAUUGAACUCGCUGCGAAGAUACAGUGUACCCGCGGCAAGACAGAAAGACUCCGUGAGCCUCUACUAUAGCUUGACACUGAACAUGGAGCCUUGAUGUGUAGGAUAGGUGGGAGGCAGUAAAUCGUAGACGCCAGUCUGCGAGGAGCCACGCUUGAAAUACCACCCUUUAAUGUUUGAUGUUCUAACUUUGACCCGUGACCCGGGGCGAGGACAGUGUCUGGCGUGCAGCCUGACUGGGGCGGUCUUCCCCCAAAGAGUAAAGAGUAACGGAGGAGCACAAAGGUCAGCUAAUCACGGUCGGCCAUCGUGAGUUUAGUGCAAGGGCAUAAGCUAGCCUGACUGCGAGAGUGACGGCUCGAGCAGGUACGAAAGUAGGUCUUAGUGAUCCGGUGGCUCUGAAUGAAAGAGCCAUCGCUCAACGGAUAAAAGAUACUCCGGGGAUAACAGGCUGAUACCGCCCAGGAGUUCAUAUCGACGGCGGUGCUUAGCACCUCGAUGUCGGCUCAUCACAUCCCGGGGCUAAAGUAGGUCCCAAGAGUAUGGCCGUUCGCCAUUUAAAGUAGUACGCGAGCUGGGUUUAGAACGUCGUGAGACAGUUCGGUCCCUAUCUGCCGCGGGCGUAAGAAGAUUAAUAAGAGGGAUUGCUCCUAGUACGAGAAGACCGGAGUAAACGCACGGCUGGUGUUCGGGCUGCCACGCCAAUGGCAUUGCCCGGCAGCUAAGUGUGGAACAGAUAAGCGCUGAAAGCAUCUAAGCGCGAAACUGGCCUCGAGAUGAGUCUUCUCUGGGUCUGAAAAGUCCCUGAAGGUACGUUUAAGACAAAGACGUGAACAGGCUGGGUGUGUAAGAGCAGCGAUGCUCUGAGCUAACCAGUACUAAUGAGCCGCGAGGCUUAACCUUACAACACCGAAGGUGU